rnacentral:rRNA from 1 species
GACGAACGCUGGCGGCGUGCCUAAUACAUGCAAGUCGAGCGGAGCGGCGGACGGGUGAGUAAUGCCUAGGAAUCUGCCUGGUAGUGGGGGAUAACGUCCGGAAACGGGCGCUAAUAUCGCAUACUAUCAGAUGAGCCUAGGUCGGAUUGGCUAGUUGGUGGGGUAAAGGCCUACCAAGGCGACGAUCCGUAACCGGUCCGAGAGGAUGAUCAGCCACACUGGAACUGAGACACGGUCCAGACUCCUACGGGAGGCAGCAGUGGGGAAUAUUGGACAAUGGGCGAAAGCCUGAUCCAGCCAUGCCGCGUGUGUGAAGAAGGUCUUCGGAUUGUAAAGCACUUUAAGUUGGGAGGCGUUACCAACAGAAUAAGCACCGGCUAACUACGUGCCAGCAGCCGCGGUAAUUC